GAUGAACGCUAGCGGCAGGCUUAACACAUGCAAGUCGAGGGGUAUAGUUCUUCGGAGCUAGAGACCGGCGCACGGGUGCGUAACGCGUAUGCAAUCUACCUUUUGCAGAGGGAUAGCCCAGAGAAAUUUGGAUUAAUACCUCAUAGUAUGUGAGAAUGGCAUCAUUUUCACAUUAAAGUCACAACGGCAAAAGAUGAGCAUGCGUCCCAUUAGCUUGUUGGUAAGGUAACGGCUUACCAAGGCAACGAUGGGUAGGGGUCCUGAGAGGGAGAUCCCCCACACGGGGACUAAGACACGGACCAGACUCCUACGGGAGGCAGCAGUGAGGAAUAUUGGACAAUGGGCGCAAGCCUGAUCCAGCCAUGCCGCGUGCAGGAUGACGGUCCUAUGGAUUGUAAACUGCUUUUGUACAGGAAGAAACACUGGUUCGUGAACCAGCUUGACGGUACUGUAAGAAUAAGGAUCGGCUAACUCCGUGCCAGCAGCCGCCGUAAUAC
rnacentral:rRNA from 1 species